UACGUAGGGGGCAAGCGUUGUCCGGAUUUAUUGGGCGUAAAGAGCGUGUAGGCGGCCAGGUAGGUCUGCUGUGAAAACCCGAGGCUUAACCUCGUGGCUUGCGGUGGAUACGGGCAGACUAGAGGUAGGUAGGGGAGAAUGGAAUUCCCGGUGUAGCGGUGAAAUGCGCAGAUAUCGGGAGGAACACCGGUGGCGAAGGCGGUUCUCUGGGCCUUACCUGACGCUGAGGAGCGAAAGCGUGGGGAGCGAACAGG
rnacentral:rRNA from 1 species